rnacentral:rRNA from 1 species
AGAGUUUGAUCAUGGCUCAGGAUGAACGCUAGCUACAGGCUUAACACAUGCAAGUCGAGGGGAAACGAUAUUGGAAGCUUGCUUCCGAUAGGCGUCGACCGGCGCACGGGUGAGUAACGCGUAUCCAACCUGCCCACCACUUGGGGAUAACCUUGCGAAAGUAAGACUAAUACCCAAUGACGUCUCUAGAAGACAUCUGAAAGGGAUUAAAGAUUUAUCGGUGAUGGAUGGGGAUGCGUCUGAUUAGCUUGGUUGGCGGGGUAACGGCCACCAAGGCUACGAUCAGUAGGGGUUCUGAGAGGAAGGUCCCCANAUUGGAACUGAGACACGGUCCAAACGUCCUACGGGAGC